CUCCGCCGGGGUUGAGAGAGUGUCGAGUGGUAUGGAUAAUUAACCCAAAAUUCACCCUGUUCCCAGACUCCAGGAUCUUAGCCACGGCAGGAUAUGUUAACAUGAAGGGUCAAACUACAAUCAGGGUCACAAAACUAUCUCUGAAAAUGCCCACAACUCCUACGAAAGCCUUGUGAAAUAUGUAUUUGGACGCCGAAAUGUGAGAAUUAUGAUCCUUCAGUAAGUCCCACGGCCUCUACCUCUGUGCAGUGACCUUGGUGGUGUGUUGUAAGCCUGGAAAUGUGUGAAAAUAUGGGGCUGAGUGGAUUAUCAGUGAUUGAUCAACCCUACACCAGCCUUGACAAACCAUUAUUAAUUAGGCUCAUAACACUACCCAUGGAAAUAGUGACACAGUCUCCACGAAAGCCUCAUCAGAUGUGUAUAGCCUGUUGUUGAAAUGUUUGAAAAUAUGGAUGUAAGUUAAUGAAUU